CUCUACCGUCUGGAGCAUCCUGGUGUCGCUCGUGUUUUCAGUGGAGUUCGGGUCUCUCCGUCACAGUGGCAUGCUCGUCUUGGUCACCCGGCCACACCUAUUGUCCGUCAUAUUUUGCGUCGUCAUGAGCUUCCUAGUUUGUCUAGUAAUAAAGAUGUAGCAGUGUGUGAUGCUUGUCAGCAGGGGAAGAGUCAUCAACUUCCUUUUUCGGAGUCCAGUCGUGAGGUGAAACAUCCUUUAGAACUUGUGUUUUCAGAUGUAUGGGGUCCUGCUCAGACUUCUGUCAGUGGUCAUAAUUACUAUAUCAGUUUCGUUGAUGCUUAUAGUCGCUUUACCUGGCUUUACCUUAUUAAACGCAAAUCUGAUGUGUUUGAUAUUUUUGUUCAGUUUCAAAAACAUGUUGAACGUCUUCUCAAGCACAAAAUUGUUCAUGUCCAGUCGGAUUGGGGGGGCGAGUAUCGCAACCUCAACUCUUUCUUUCAGUCGCUUGGGAUAGCUCAUCGUUUAGCAUGUCCACAUACACAU
rnacentral:rRNA from 1 species